GGUUCCAUGGUGUAAAGGUUAGCACUCUGGACUUUCAAUCCAGCGAUCCAAAUUCAAAUCUCGGUGGAGCCC
rnacentral:tRNA from 1 species